rnacentral:lncRNA from 1 species
CGGUGGGCUUGGCUUUCCCCCUCCGCCGGGGACCGCGCUUCCCCUCCUCAAUUCCGGUUACCCUCGGACAAAGAGAGAACAGAGAAUAUACCAACAAUGAAUCAUCUGUUUUUGUUACCAGUCAUUCAGACACUUUGGUGAUGGAUGAAUAGAUUGAGCCCAGAGCUGCAAGCCAGCUUGGCAGCUGGCAGUUUUUGCCCGUGUGGAGAAGAAUAGGCAUUUCUUGUGUUCCCUGCAAGUGAACCUUUGCAAG